rnacentral:rRNA from 1 species
AACGAACGCUGGCGGCGUGUUUAAGACAUGCAAGUCGCACGGGAUCAUUCGAGUAGCAAUACAAGAAUGGUCCAGUGGCGCACGGGUGAGUAACACGUGAAUGACAUGCCCUUCAGUGGGGGAUAGCCCAGGGAAACUUGGAUUAAUACCCCAUGGUCUCGCGAGAGUAAAGGUGGCGCAAGCUGCCGCUGGAGGAUUGGUUCGCGUUCUAUCAGCUUGUUGGCGGGGUAACGGCCCACCAAGGCUACGACGGAUACCUGGUCCGAGAGGACGAUCAGGCACACUGGAACGGAGACACGGUCCAGACACCGACGGGUGGCAGCAGUCGAGAAUAAUUCACAAUGGGGGCAACCCUGAUGGUGCAUCGCCGCGUGGAGGAUGAAGGUCUUCGGAUUGUAAACUCCUGUCAUCCGGGAGCAAGACCUGGCGGUUAACAGCCGACAGGGUUGAUAGUACCGGAAGAGGAAGGGACGGCUAACUUCGUGCCAGCCGCCGCCGUAACAC